GGUAAAUUCAAUUGAUUGGACAUGAUUUGGAAAGGCACACACCUGUCUAUAUAAAGGUCCCACAGUUGACAGUGCAUGUCAGAGCAAAAACCAAGUCAUGAGGUCGAAGGAAUUGUCCGUAGAGCUCAGAGACAGGAUUGUGUCGAGGCACAGAUCUGGGUGAAAGGAACAAAACAUUACUGCAGCAUUGAAGGUCCCCAAGAACACAGUGGCCUCCAUCAUUCUGCAGCAUUGAAGGUCCCCAAGAACACAGUGGCCUCCAUCAUUCUGCAGCAUUAAAGGUCCCCAAGAACACAGUGGCCUCCAUCAUUCUGCAGCAUUAAAGGUCCCCAAGAACACAGUGGCCUCCAUCAUUCUGCAGCAUUGAAGGUCCCCAAGAACACAGUGGCCUCCAUCAUUCUGCAGCAUUAAAGGUCCCCAAGAACACAGUGGCCUCCAUCAUUCUGCAGCAUUAAAGGUCCCCAAGAACACAGUGGCCUCCAUCAUUCUGCAGCAUUGAAGGUCCCCAAGAACACAGUGGCCUCCAUCAUUCUGCAGCAUUAAAGGUCCCCAAGAACACAGUGGCCUCCAUCAUUCUGCAGCAUUGAAGGUCCCCAAGAACACAGUGGCCUCCAUCAUUCUGCAGCAUUAAAGGUCCCCAAGAACACAGUGGCCUCCAUCAUUCUGCAGCAUUAAAGGUCCCCAAGAACACAGUGGCCUCCAUCAUUCUGCAGCAUUAAAGGUCCCCAAGAACACAGUGGCCUCCAUCAUUCUGCAGCAUUAAAGGUCCCCAAGAACACAGUGGCCUCCAUCAUUCUGCAGCAUUAAAGGUCCCCAAGAACACAGUGGCCUCCAUCAUUCUGCAGCAUUAAAGGUCCCCAAGAACACAGUGGCCUCCAUCAUUCUGCAGCAUUAAAGGUCCCCAAGAACACAGUGGCCUCCAUCAUUCUGCAGCAUUAAAGGUCCCCAAGAACACAGUGGCCUCCAUCAUUCUGCAGCAUUGAAGGUCCCCAAGAACACAGUGGCCUCCAUCAUUCUGCAGCAUUAAAGGUCCCCAAGAACACAGUGGCCUCCAUCAUUCUGCAGCAUUGAAGGUCCCCAAGAACACAGUGGCCUCCAUCAUUCUGCAGCAUUAAAGGUCCCCAAGAACACAGUGGCCUCCAUCAUUCUGCAGCAUUGAAGGUCCCCCAGAACACAGUGGCCUCCAUCAUUCUGCAGCAUUGAAGGUCCCCAAGA